UACUAGCAAUUCCAGCUACAGAUUUCUGAGCGUCUACCUCCUUCUCUCACAAAGGUCCUUCAAGACAAGUGCUGUUAUUGUCUGCAUUGUACAGACAGGAAAAUUGAGGCUUAGCAUGUUCAGCAACUUGCCCAAGGUCAGUCCCUCAGCUGGUAAGGGGCAGAGCUGGAAUUCAAAGCCAGGCUGCCACAAGUUCAGACUUCUGUCUAUCAGGGCAGGAUGGAUGGGGCAGAUAAUGAUGGGGUCUCUUCAGCUUCUGGAUGGCCAAGAAAGGGAGCAAAGCUGGCGGGAGACACAGGAUUCCCUAGGUUGGCUGCCUCUCUGAAAAGCAACGCCUUUAGCUCUGCGAAUGACUGUCCACUCCCUGAAAGGGAGCUGGACUUUGAGGCAGCUGAGGGUGGGGAGCAGGUGGUGAUCAAAGCCACAGGAUAGAACAGUGAGGCAGGAUACUCUUCAAUCUCUGUAGCACUUAAUCUUCCAAACCUCAGUUUCCUCAUUAAAUUAUC
rnacentral:lncRNA from 1 species